rnacentral:rRNA from 1 species
UUGAAAUAAACCUGAUGGGUUGCUGCUGGCUCUCUCGGGAGCAUGUGCACACUUGUCAUCUUUAUAUCUCCACCUGUGCACCUUUUGUAGAUCUGGAUAUCUUUCUGAAUGCCUGGCAUUCAGGUUUGAGAAUUGACUNUUUGUCUUUCCUUACAUUUNCAGGCCUAUGUUNCUAUCAUAUACACCAUUAUGUUAUAGAAUGUAUAUGAAAGGCCUUUGUGCCUACAAACUUUAUACAACUUUCAGCAACGGAUCUAUUGGCUCUUGCAUCGAUGAAGAACGCAGCGAAAUGCGAUAAGUAAUGUGAAUUGCAGAAUUCAGUGAAUCAUCGAAUCUUUGAACGCACCUUGCGCUCCUUGGUAUUCCGAGGAGCAUGCCUGUUUGAGUGUCAUUAAUAUAUCAACCUCCUCAGGUUUUUACUUGUCGAGUGUUUGGAUGUGGGGGUUUCUUUUGCUGGUCUCUUUGAGGUCGGCUCCCCUAAAAUGCAUUAGCGGAACAAUUUGUUGACCCGUUCAUUGGUGUGAUAAUAUCUACGCUUUUGACGUGAAACAGGUUCAGCUUCUAACAGUCCAUUGACUUGGACAAUUUUUCAUUAAUGUGACCUCAAAUCAGGUAGGACUACCCGCUGAACUUAAGCAUAUCAAUAAGCGGAGGAAAAGAAACUAACAAGGAUUCCCCUAGUAACUGCGAGUGAAGCGGGAAAAGCUCAAAUUUAAAAUCUGGCAGUCUUUGGCUUGUCCGAGUUGUAAUCUAGAGAAGUGUUAUGCGCG